rnacentral:rRNA from 1 species
UGAACGCUGGCGGCAGGCCUAACACAUGCAAGUCGAGCGGUAGCACAGAGAGCUUGCUCUCGGGUGACGAGCGGCGGACGGGUGAGUAAUGUCUGGGAAACUGCCUGAUGGAGGGGGAUAACUACUGGAAACGGUAGCUAAUACCGCAUAAUGUCGCAAGACCAAAGUGGGGGACCUUCGGGCCUCAUGCCAUCAGAUGUGCCCAGAUGGGAUUAGCUAGUAGGUGGGGUAACGGCUCACCUAGGCGACGAUCCCUAGCUGGUCUGAGAGGAUGACCAGCCACACUGGAACUGAGACACGGUCCAGACUCCUACGGGAGGCAGCAGUGGGGAAUAUUGCACAAUGGGCGCAAGCCUGAUGCAGCCAUGCCGCGUGUAUGAAGAAGGCCUUCGGGUUGUAAAGUACUUUCAGCGGGGAGGAAGGCGAUAAGGUUAAUAACCUUGUCGAUUGACGUUACCCGCAGAAGAAGCACCGGCUAACUCCGUGCCAGCAGCCGCGGUAAUACGGAGGGUGCAAGCGUUAAUCGGAAUUACUGGGCGUAAAGCGCACGCAGGCGGUCUGUCAAGUCGGAUGUGAAAUCCCCGGGCUCAACCUGGGAACUGCAUUCGAAACUGGCAGGCUAGAGUCUUGUAGAGGGGGGUAGAAUUCCAGGUGUAGCGGUGAAAUGCGUAGAGAUCUGGAGGAAUACCGGUGGCGAAGGCGGCCCCCUGGACAAAGACUGACGCUCAGGUGCGAAAGCGUGGGGAGCAAACAGGAUUAGAUACCCUGGUAGUCCACGCCGUAAACGAUGUCGAUUUGGAGGUUGUGCCCUUGAGGCGUGGCUUCCGGAGCUAACGCGUUAAAUCGACCGCCUGGGGAGUACGGCCGCAAGGUUAAAACUCAAAUGAAUUGACGGGGGCCCGCACAAGCGGUGGAGCAUGUGGUUUAAUUCGAUGCAACGCGAAGAACCUUACCUGGUCUUGACAUCCACAGAACUUAGCAGAGAUGCUUUGGUGCCUUCGGGAACUGUGAGACAGGUGCUGCAUGGCUGUCGUCAGCUCGUGUUGUGAAAUGUUGGGUUAAGUCCCGCAACGAGCGCAACCCUUAUCCUUUGUUGCCAGCGGUUAGGCCGGGAACUCAAAGGAGACUGCCAGUGAUAAACUGGAGGAAGGUGGGGAUGACGUCAAGUCAUCAUGGCCCUUACGACCAGGGCUACACACGUGCUACAAUGGCAUAUACAAAGAGAAGCGACCUCGCGAGAGCAAGCGGACCUCAUAAAGUAUGUCGUAGUCCGGAUUGGAGUCUGCAACUCGACUCCAUGAAGUCGGAAUCGCUAGUAAUCGUAGAUCAGAAUGCUACGGUGAAUACGUUCCCGGGCCUUGUACACACCGCCCGUCACACCAUGGGAGUGGGUUGCAAAAGAAGUAGGUAGCUUAACCUUCGGGAGGGCGCUUACCACUUUGUGAUUCAUGAAUGG